AUUUUAGUCUUUAGUAAAGUACAGACGUUGCCUGUAGCUGCGUUGCCCUCUGGCUAUUAUUGUUGUUUCUUCUUUUAUAAUUAAUAGUCGAUUUUACAAAAAAAGAAUAAUAUUAUUAAUAUAAAAAAUAUGUUAAAAAGCACAAGAAAAUUUUAAAUCACAAAUCUCCAUCAUUGACUCCACAAUGCAGCAGAGUUCUCCAAAGUUUCCACGUUCCCCAAAGUUAGGAGGUUCACGAUCUCCCAGGCUAGGAGGAUCGCCCAUGGCCUCCCUUAGAAAAUAUCAUAUCAGCGAUAAAUUGAAUGUAAUCCAACAUCAGCUGGACAAGGUAGUUGGCUUCGGGGGCAUGAAGAGCCGUCGAACACCUAUUGGCCCGCCCAUUGGAGGAUUAGUCCGUCCGAAUUCCGUUGGUGACUUUAAUGAUGUCGAUGAAGAAAGUUGGACGGCUAUUUCCCAACUAUCAGAUAGCGAAAUCCAUGUGGAAUUUGAGAAAAUGUUGGAAAAUAUGAACCUGAGUGAGGAGAAGAAGCAACCCCUUCUCAUGCUCUCACUCAAUAAAAAAAGAGAUAUGCUCUCAAUGAACUCAAGAAAUAUUGCUCGGACUCAAUUCCAUUCACCUACAGACUAUAUACAGUACCUGAGCAAUACAGACAUGAGUCUUCAAAAAAAGUAUAGUUGUAUUGAAUCUCUGAGAGUGGCUCUCACAAAUAAUUCAUUAGAAUGGGUUCAAGAGUUCGGAACCAAGGGUCUCAAGCAAGUGCUCUCCUUACUCAAAGAAUGUUUUCGUUCAAAUGAUGACAAAUGGGUCAGAGUACAACAUGAGUGCAUCAAGUGUCUAAAAGCCAUCAUGAAUAAUAAGGUGGGCUUAAAGGAUGUAUUUGAACACAAAGAGGCACUGACACUAUUAGCUCGUUCUCUUAGCCCUAAUUUACCACAAGUAAUGCUUGAAGCAGCAAAGUUAAUGGCUGCUGUUUGUAUGGUUCCUCCUGAUGGUUAUGAGAAAACGUUAGAGGCCAUAACAAUUGCAGGGGAAAUGAAGGGUAGAGACAGAUUUCAGCCUAUUGUACAAGGGCUGUUAAUUCGCUCAAAUGAAGUACUUCGUACAAAUUGUCUUAUUCUUAUCAACGCAAUUAUCACAAGUCCAGAGGACUUGGACUUUCGAUUGCAUCUACGAAACGAAUUUAUGCGUUUUGGUCUCAUUGAUGUUUUAGAUACCUUGGAGGAUAAUGCAUCAGAGGAACUCCUUUUACAAUUGAAUGUGUUCUAUGAACAUAGAGAUACUGAUUUCGAUGAAUUUGCUCAAAGAUUCGAUAACAUUAGACUGGAACUUGAUGAUGUGAAUGAAUGCUUUGAAUUAAAUAAAAAUAUUGUUUUAGAUACACCGGCCGAGCCUUACUUUUUGUCUAUACUUCAACACUUUCUCACAAUUAGAGAUGAUCCAUAUGUACGAUUGGCGUACUACAAGUUAAUUGAAGAAUGUGUCUCCCAAAUUAUAUUACACAAAAAUGGUUGUGACCCUGAUUUUCGAGCGACAAGAAGAUUUUCAAUUGAUGUCGAACCUCUAAUUGACAACUUGGUUGAAAAAUCAAAGUUUGAGGAGGAGCGCAAUAACGAGGGAAUGAAGUCCACUCUUGAAGAUGCACUAACUCAAAAACAAGAGACAGAAGCUAAGUUACUUCAGGCUCAACUUCGAAUUGAACAACUGGAAGAAGUAAUGCGAUCGGGUGGUGGUUCUCCUUCUAAAUUACCUGUUCCUCCUGGACUGAGUGACAUUGUUAAACCUCCCAAUGGGGGAGGAGUAGGUCCGGCACCUCCUCCUCCCCCUCCCCCUCCACCAGGAAUUGGUGGACCGCCACCACCUCCUCCUCCGCCAGGGAUGGGUGGGCCUCCACCACCCCCUCCUCCUCCUCCGGGAAUGGGUGGGCCACCACCACCUCCUCCUCCACCAGGAAUGGGUGGGCCUCCACCCCCUCCUCCACCACCAGGAAUGGGCGGACCAAGGCCUCCAGGCCCUCCUCCUCCAUGUGCUCCCAUUCAGCAACCAAGUCAGGAUGACAUCCUAACCAAGUUAGGUAUGAAAAGAAAGAAAAAAUGGACCAUGAACAAUCCUACAAAGCGUACUAAUUGGAAGUCUGUACCAGCCAAUAAAUUAACUAAAGAUGCAUUCUGGACCAAAAUUGACGAGGAAAGACUUGCAUCCGAUACAUUGGUCGAAAAUUUAAUGAAUAAAUUUAGUACAAAACCUCCUAUUCGAAAUUCAGACAAUCCAGAUAGUACAUCAAAUGGAAACAUGGGAAAAAAGAAAACCAAAGAACUUAAAGUAUUGGAUCCUAAAGCCUCUCAAAAUCUUUCGAUUCUUCUUGGAGGUGCAUUAAAACACAUACCUUACGAUGAUUUAAGGAUUUGCAUUUUACGCUGUGAUACUUCUGUCCUUACUGAUAACUUGUUAGAGGCUCUUAUUCAAUACAUACCUGCGCCAGAUCAACUAAAUCGUUUGAAAGAAUAUGAGGAUGAGUAUGAUUCACUCGCAGAAGCAGAGCAAUUUGCAAUAAGCAUCUGUGGUAUAAAGCGCCUUGUUCCUCGCUUGAAGUCUAUCAUGUUUCAACUACGUUACCCUGAACUCGUCCAAGAUUGUAAACCAGAUAUUGUAGCUGCAACUGCUGCUUGUGAGGAAAUUAAGAAGAGUCGAAAAUUUGCUAAAGUUUUGGAAAUCAUUUUAUUAAUCGGAAAUAUAAUGAACACAGGGUCGAGGAAUGCUCAAGCCGUCGGCUUUGAUAUCAGCUAUUUACCAAAACUAAGCAAUACGAAGGAUCGAGAAAACAAAGGAACCCUCCUUCACUUCUUGGUAGAAUUGGUUGAACGAGAUUAUCCGGAACUUCUUAAUUUUUCUGAUGAGCUAAUACAUCUUGACAGCGCGGCCCGAGUCUCACAAGAGUCCAUUUCUAAAAUUUUGAAACAAAUGGAUUCAUCUGUCAAGAAUUUAGAAAUGGAUCUUAAAAAUGCUGCACGCGUACCACAGGAACCUGAGGAUACCUUUAUGCAAGUGAUGGGUGAUUUCUGUGCAGACGCUAGGAGUCAGUGUGAUAUCCUUCAAGCAAUGUCCAAUAAAAUGGGUACUCUCUAUAAUGACCUCUCAGACUAUUUUGUCUUUGACAAGAUGAAGUAUACAAUGGAGGAAUUUAUGGGUGAUAUAAAAACGUUUAAGGACCAGUUUAAAGAUGCUUUCGACUCAAUAACACAGGAACGGUUGGCUGUGGAAAAAUUGGCGCGUGCACGAGAGGCUCGUGAAAAACAAGACCGUGAAAGAGCUCAACGUGCCGCUAAGAAAAGAGCCAUUAUUGAUUUUAACGCUCCUGACGAUCAAGAAGGUGUUAUGGACAGUCUCUUAGAAGCCUUAAAAACGGGCUCUGCUUUCAAUAGAGAUAAGAAACGUAAUAGAGCCCCAAGAGCCGCUGGAGACAAAGUUGACAGGAAUGUACUCGACAAGCUGUUGACGAGCUUCUGAAUUCCCAAAUUAGUGUGCUCCCUAAAUCAUUCUACCAAGUCUAUUUAAGUUUUUACUUUGCAUACACGGAUUGAUUUUUAUGAAACAUCAAGCUGAGCGCCGGGCUCAAUUAAAUCGAAGUCGAUCUCGAGGCCCACCUGGGCAUGGUUCUCCCGCAGGAGCUAAAGAUUUAAUUGAUAUAAUAACAGAGGAAAUAGAAACUGAUCAGCCUCAUCGUCGAAGUAGAUCUCGGAAUUCUUCAUCUGCCUUACAUUCUUCUGGGCGAGAGAGAGAAUUUCCUAUUCCGGGCUUAGUAAACGGUGGAGAAACUAUGAAUGAUUAAA
rnacentral:misc_RNA from 1 species